rnacentral:lncRNA from 1 species
UUGAAGACUUGAGAACCAAGCUAGAACUGUUCAAAAUAAAACUCGAGGAGUGUUAGUAGUUGAGUUUUUCUUGAACAGUGAUUGCUGAAGUCAGAAAAUUAUGAUUAUUUUUUCUAUAUUCUGCUUUAGUUAGUAAGUGAUAGUUAAAAGGAAUGAUGAAACAUGUUUUGAAGCAAGAAAAUCAGCAACUUUUGCUUGUUUUGGUAA